AUUGAACGCUGGCGGCAGGCUUAACACAUGCAAGUCGAACGAGUGGCGGACGGGUGAGUAAUGCUUGGGAAUCUGGCUGAUGGAGGGGGAUAACUACUGGAAACUGUAGCUAAUACCGCAUACCAUCAGAUGAGCCCAGUGGGGAUUAGGUAGUUGGUGGGGUAAAGGCUCACCAAGCCGACGAUCCCUAGCUGGUCUGAGAGGAGGACCAGCCACACUGGGACUGAGACACGGUCCAGACUCCUACGUGAGGCAGCAGUGGGGAAUAUUGCGCAAUGGGGGCAACCCUGAUGCAGCCAUGCCGCGUGAAUGAAGAAGGCCUUCGGGUUGUAAAGUUCUUUCGGUAGCGAGGCGUUACCUACAGAAGAAGCACCGGCUAACUCCGUGCCAGCAGCCGCGGUAAUUC
rnacentral:rRNA from 1 species